rnacentral:rRNA from 1 species
GAUUUGGCCAAGGCGAGAAAUAUGAAGUUGUUGUUAUGCCUCUUUGAACAAUUAUCGGGGUUAAAGAUUAAUUUUCAUAAGAGCGAAUUGUUCUGCUUUGGUAGGGCUAAAGACGAACAGGACUCCUAUAGGCAACUGUUUGGGUGCGAGUUGGGAAGUCUGCCCUUCUACUACCUUGGCAUUCCGAUUCAUCAUCGUAGGCUAACAAACAGAGAGUGGAAGUGUAUCGAGGAUCGAUUUGAAAAGAAACUGAGCUGCUGGAAGGGUAAGCUCAUGUCAUAUGGAGGCCGGUUAGUUUUGAUAAACUCGGUACUCACGAGUAUGCCUAUGUUCCUCUUAUUGUUCUUUGAGGUUCCAGUGGGAGUGAGGAAAAGACUGGACUUCUAUCGAUCACGCUUCUUUUGGCAGGGUGAUGAGCUUAAAAGAAAAUACCGGCUUGCUAAGUGGGAUAUCAUCUGUCGACCCAAAGACCAAGGCGGGCUUGGCAUUGAGAAUCUUGAGGUUAAGAACAGAUGCCUUCUUAGUAAGUGGUUGUGGAAGCUCGCUAGCGGUUCGGAAGCUAUGUGGGCGCAAAUUAUUCGCAACAAGUAUCUCCAGACUAGGACUUUGUCCCAGGUAACAGUUAGGCCGAUGGAUUCGCCUUUCUGGAAAGGGCUCAUGAAAGUCAAGCAAUUAAUGUUCAAUAGGACAAAAGUUGUCAUUGGC